GAUGAACGCUGGCGGCGUGCCUAAUACAUGCAAGUCGAGCGAACAGAUGAGGAGCUUGCUCCUCUGACGUUAGCGGCGGACGGGUGGGUAACACGUGGAUAACCUACCUAUAAUACUGGGAUAACUUCGGGAAACCGGAGCUAAUACCGGAUCAUAUAUUGAACCGCAUGGUUCAAUAGUGAAAGACGGUUUUGCUGUCACUUAUAGAUGGAUCCGCGCCGCAUUAGCUAGUUGGUAAGGUAACGGCUUACCAAGGCAACGAUGCGUAGCCGACCUGAGAGGGUGAUCGGCCACACUGGAACUGAGACACGGUCCAGACUCCUACGGGAGGCAGCAGUAGGGAAUCUUCCGCAAUGGGCGAAAGCCUGACGGAGCAACGCCGCGUGAGUGAUGAAGGUCUUCGGAUCGUAAAACUCUGUUAUUAGGGAAGAACAAAUGUGUAAGUAACUAUGCACGUCUUGACGGUACCUAAUCAGAAAGCCACGGCUAACUACGUG
rnacentral:rRNA from 1 species